rnacentral:sRNA from 1 species
AAGGGCGCAUGGUGGAUGCCUUGGCAUGCUGAGCCGAUGAAGGACGUGAAAGGCUGCGUUAAGCCUCGGGGAGUUGUCAAUUAAGCGUUGAUCCGAGGAUGUCCGAAUGGGGAAACCUGGCCCUGGUUAUGUGGGGUUACCCUUCAGUGAAU